rnacentral:lncRNA from 1 species
ACGACAACACUACUCAACCGGGACGAAACAAUCUCUCUAAUUAAGGUUUACCGUAGAAAUUAGAGUGCUUAGAAAAUAACGUAAAUCUAAAAAUAAAAAUGUUUUAAUUCAUGGCUCCGGCAUGCCAAAAAUGUGAAACCAAUGACAAAUACAAUUUCUAGAAAAUCCCGGCUAUGGCCGAGAGCUUAUCUUUUACGGCAAGCCAAACAGUAAUAAAGAAACAGUUUGUUGCCGGCCACUAUAAUGCCAACCACGUUCGCACGCAGGUCAGUUUGGAUAGAAAGAUCGGUACUGAGCAACUUGCAUUAUUACUCUGCGCGUGCUUUCCACUAUCGAUCCAUCUUAAUUUGGAAGAGCCAGAAAAAAAAAAAAAGGUGACUUUGGAAUGAAAGGAGCAGAUAUAUCAAAAUGGUGUGCUGGUCACAGUAUAGCCACUCCGUUCUUGGCUUCAUAUAUAAUUUGAUUUUUGACUCGUAUUAUACUAAUUU